GAUGAACGCUGGCGGCGUGCCUAAUACAUGCAAGUCGAGCGAACGGACGAGACGCUUGCUUCUCUGAUGUUAGCGGCGGACGGGUGUGUAACACGUGUAUCAUCUACCUAUAAGACUGGUAUAACUUCGGGACACCGGCGCUUAUACCGGAUAAUAUUUUGCACCGCAUGGUUCAUAAGUGAAAGACGGUCUUGCUGUCACUUCUCGCUGCUUCCGCGCUGCAUUAGCUAGUUGGUACGGUAACGGCCUACCAAGGCAACGAUGCAUAGCCGACCUGAGAGGGUGAUCGGCCACACGGGAACUGAGACACGGACAAGACUCCUACGGGAGGCAGCAGUAGGGAAUCGUACGCAAUGGGCGAAAGCCUGACGGAGCAACGCCGCGUGAGUGAUGAAGGUCCUGGGAGCGGAAAACUCUGUUAUUAGGGAAGAACAGAUGUGUAAGGAACUGUGCAGAGCGUGACGGUACCGAAUCAGAAAGCAACGGCUAACUACGUG
rnacentral:rRNA from 1 species